CACGUGACUCCAAGGGGAAGCCCCCCAGACGGAGGUUCUUCAAGAGGAGGAACCGUGUUGAGCCAACUUCGGCUCCUCCUCCAACUCUGGCUUCUCCUCCAACUGCAGAAGAGGGCUUCCAAACAUCGUCAGGAGUCACAAUUGCCUUGAGCACCGCAUGGCAAAAAAAGGAAAGAGCUAAGAUCAUUCUCUGGUGGACAUCCUUUCUUAAUUCCAUUGCGGUGCAAGUCAAUGGCGCAGAGUCGGAUACAUUGCAGUUCAGCAAGCUGAAGAUUGUCGAAUUCAUUUUGGUGA